UUGCUUUAGCAGCAUAUAUACUAAACUUGGAAUGAUACAGGAAAGAUUAGCUUAGCUCCUGCACGAGAAUGGCACACAGAUUUGAAAAGUGUUCUAUAUUUUU